CUGAGUGGUAAAAACUAUAGAAGUUGAUUUCUCUCCUUGUAUGGUUAAACUUAUUUUAUCUUACUUGCUGCUUUCUGUAAAUUGCCAAAUCAAAAGAGACAGUGACUAUCUGUAUUUCCCUGGAGUCGUCAGUAGGUGGUGUUGUAUGCAUUACACCUGGGGAAUGCGCAUACGCUGUUGUUCUCAGAGAUUGUAAGUGACGCGCAGCGAGCAGUGCGAGGGGAGACGCACACUCUCCGUAAUCGUUGACCUAUUUAAGAUCUUCCAACGUUUACAGCUCUCAUUAAGUGAAUGUAAAGGGUGAAAUAGGAGCUCAUCAUCAUUAUUCCCACUGCCGUAUUGUACUGUGUGUAUUUGCGGGUAGAUUCUCUGUAGUGUACAACAGCAUUCCGGUGUUGUAUAAUCUAUUUUUGUAUUGCAGUAUUUUCUUUUUGUAAUUUUGGGGUGACGGCUGUGUUUUUGUAGUGCCGUGUUUUGAAGGUUAAAAGUUUGAUUUUGCUUACAUGCAAAUAGACUGUAAAGCUAUGGCGUGUAGUGCAUUGGAGAUACUCAUACACAGGAAAAUACAGAGCUGCGAGAUUUAAAGUGCAUUCCCAGCUCUGUGUAUUCUUCUCUGUUGUUGUUUUCUUUAACUACAGAAAUCUGUUUUAUUCGUUUCCGGUCUCUUUUGUGAAAGCUGUUAGCCGGAACUGUUUCUUGUACAUUUUUGGAAUACUUUUCAGAACAAAACAUUCUUUUGAAAGCAUUAAAUGAAUAAACUACAAAGUAAGUGAACCCGCUAAAUGUGUUCUUGGUGGUAAAUCAAAAUCCCCGGUCACAAAUAGUUUUACCUCAUCUUUUUUUUUUAUGAUCCUUGGAAGCUAACAUCAAAAUCAACAAUAAAAUUAGUUUAAUAACACAGCCACAGGUCUAAAGUGUAAGCAGACGUUUGAUUGUUUAGUUCUGUCCUCUGUCAUUACAGUUUAACAAGGCUUUCAUAUUGCGCUCUCUGUAGCUCCUCCGCGUGAGCGC